CGUCCCGCCGGCGACCGGCGCACGGGUGAGUAACACGUAUGCAACCUGGCCGCCACAGGGGGAUAACCCGCGGAAACGCGGCCUAAUACCCCGUGACGCCACCGGAGGGCAUCCUCCGGUGGCCAAAGGAGCGAUCCGGUGGCGGAUGGGCAUACGGCGCAUUAGCUAGACGGCGGGGUGACGGCCCACCGUGGCGACGAUGCGUAGGGGUUCUGAGAGGAAGGCCCCCCACACUGGGACUGAGACACGGCCCAGACUCCUACGGGAGGCAGCAG
rnacentral:rRNA from 1 species